rnacentral:lncRNA from 1 species
UCUGGGCCAAGGGGUUAUAGCAGAGAACGAAGCAGAAAAAGUCCUGCCCUCCUCGAGCUAAUAUUUCCAUGAGAGCCGGGGAAGGGACCCACAGAGCUGGCUCAUCCUGCCUCGGAUUGCUGAGUCCCCACCUGCUGUGCAGCACCCUUUGAGAGCCUGGACAGGAAGCGUUCUGGAAAUGAUCAGGUGCAGAGACCGGGCUCAGAGAAGCUAAUCAAUGCUUCUGUGGGUGCACAGCUCACAAGCAGUAGAAUCCGGGCUGGCCGACCCCAGCCCUUGGCUCUUCACACUGUAAGACCCCAUUCGGUGUUCUGUGCCAGAAUGAGAAAUGUUUAAAAGAGCCGAACUGACAACUCCUGGGGUGCAUAUGCCUGUGAGAAUGUGACCGCACCCAGAGGGGUCUGAUGCUGUGGAAAGAACAUGGGACAACGUCUCCCUUCCAGGGUGUCCCUCCGUCGCAUCUGUAAGAUGGGAAUGACAAUGUCCACCUCACACGGUUGUCCUCGGG